rnacentral:rRNA from 1 species
CAGUAGCCGCGGGAAUACGAAGGGGGCUAGCGUUGCUCGGAAUUACUGGGCGUAAAGGGCGCGUAGGCGGACAGUUCAGUCGGGGGUGAAAGCCUGGGGCUCAACCUCGGAAUUGCCUUCGAUACUGGCUAUCUUGAGUGUGAGAGAGGUGUGUGGAACUCCGAGUGUAGAGGUGAAAUUCGUAGAUAUUCGGAAGAACACCAGUGGCGAGGGCGACACACUGGCUCACUACUGACGCUGAGGCGCGAAAGCGUGGGGAGCAACCAGGAUUAGAUUCCCCUGUAGUCCCUGUCUCUUAUAC